AGAUUGCUAAGUUGUAAAAUGAGUUGUAAUGUGUAAAAUAGUUGAAAUUAUGAGUUGCUAUAGUUAUGAAAAUGGUUCAUCUAGACUCAAGGAGUAAAGAAAUGUGAUAAAAAUUAUUUUACGAGCAUUGGGGCAAAAGUCCAAAUAUGCAAAAGUUUAGGGGUUAAAAUGAAAAUUUGUAAAAAUAUGAUUUUUAGACCCAUA
rnacentral:lncRNA from 1 species